AUUGAACGCUGGCGGCAGGCCUAACACAUGCAAUUCGCGCGAGUGGCGGACGGGUGAGUAAUGUCUGGGAACCUGCCUGAUUGAGGGGGAUAACUACUGGAAACGGUAGCUAAUACCGCAUACCAUCAGAUGUGCCCAUAUGGGAUUAGCUAGUUGGUGGGGUAAAUGCUCACCAAGGCGACGAUCCCUAGAUGGUCUGAGAGGAUGACCAGACACACUGGAACUGAGACACGGUGCAGACUCCUACGGGAGGCAGCAGUGGGGAAUAUUGCACAAUGGGCGCAAGCCGGAUGCAGCAAUGCCGCGUGUGUGAAGAAGGACUUAGGGUUGUAAAGUACUUUCAGCGGGGAGGCGUUACCCGCAGAAGAAGCACCGGCUAACUCCGUGCCAGCAGCCGCGGUAAUUC
rnacentral:rRNA from 1 species